CCCGGUCUUCCUAGAGGGCCGGAAAAAGAUGCUGCGCACGCGCCGAGCGGUUCUCGCGGACGCAGAUUUGGAGUGCGCAGAUCCGGUGCGCUUAAGUGGCCGACAUCGAGGAGGCCUUUGCUCUCCCAUGGCUUCCAGUAUCAUCUUCCACAGUGCAUGAUCAACUUAAAAGUAAAAGGAAGUCCAGGAGAUAAACAAAAUUUAGAAGCCAGUGCUUUGAUGAACCCUUGUAGGAGGCACAGGCCUGGAAAGAAUGAACACACCUUUCCAGUCUGACAUGGAAAUGAAAUCAGAGACAGACCAUCUACCAAACUCUUCUCUCUUGUGGAAGCUAAGAGGAAAGUUCUUUGGCCCAGGCCAUGAAUGUUUAAGAGAGAAGUAAGGAAGGCUUGAAUUAAGG
rnacentral:lncRNA from 1 species